UACGGAGGGGGCUAGCGUUGUUCGGAAUUACUGGGCGUAAAGCGCACGUAGGCGGACUGUUAAGUCGGGGGUGAAAUCCUGGGGCUCAACCUCAGAAUUGCCUCCGAUACUGGCAGUCUCGAGUGCGGGAGAGGUGAGUGGAAUUCCCAGUGUAGAGGUGAAAUUCGUAGAUAUUCGCAAGAACACCAGUGGCGAAGGCGGCUCACUGGCCCGGUACUGACGCUGAGGUGCGAAAGCGUGGGGAGCGAACAGG
rnacentral:rRNA from 1 species